UUAUUACUAUUAAAAAUGGUAAAUUAUAUUUAAUUAAUUUUAUUGCUUAUAAAAAGGUAGUUUGCAAUUAAAAUUAAUUAAAAUGGAGUGUAAAAAGUAGACAGUGAAAACUUAAUUUCGUUGUGUAUUUUUUACAAAAUACACAAUAGAAUCAUGUUUCUGUUGUAUAUUUUUUUACACCUCCCUUUUGCACAACGAAAAUAUAAUUCUGUUUUAUUGUGUGGGAGCGAAAAAAA
rnacentral:lncRNA from 1 species